rnacentral:misc_RNA from 1 species
CCGAGCGAGGGCCCCGCGCCCGACCUCCAACCCUUUUGAAGUUACCGACCCUGUUGCCUCGGGGGUGACCCGGCCCCCGCGCCGGCGCCCCCGGAGGACCACACCACUCUGCGUUCCUGCGUCGGAGUUUGAGGGAGAAUAUUAAUCA